GGGCCAUAGCUCAGCUGGUUAGAGCGCACGCCUGAUAAGCGUGAGGUCGAUGGUUCGAGUCCAUUUAGGCCCA
rnacentral:tRNA from 1 species